rfam:Papio anubis isolate 1X1155 chromosome 7, whole genome shotgun sequence.
AUCUACAGCCAUACCACCCUGAACGUGCCUGAUAGCAUCUGAUCUCGGAAGCUAAGCAGGGUCAGGCCCGGUUAGUACUUGGAUGGGGGAAUUUUGAAGCAUUGUUUCAUUGUCUUUC